UUAAUCUCUCUCUCUUCUCUCUCUUUUCUCUUCUGAAUGGUGGAUGGAGGAGACGAUAAGGUGGAUGGUGAUGGUGGAGAUGGCUGUGGUUUGUGAUGGCGGAGACGGCUGUGGUUGGUGAUGCUGGAUUUGGUGGCGGUUUAGAGGUGGUGGAUGGUAAUGGUGGAGACGGAAUUGUUACCUGAAUCGAUUUUUGGUGGUGGGUUUUAGGGCGACGGUGAUGGGUGGUGGCUGUGGUUGGUGAUGCGGGAUUUGGUGGCGGUUUAGAGGUGGUGGAUGGUAAUGUUGGAGACGGAAUCGUUACCUGAAUCGAUUUUUGGUGGUGGGUUUUAGGGCGACGGUGAUGGGUGGUGGCUUUUACGCCGGAUUUGGUGGUGGGUUUUAGGGCGGCGGUGAUGGUGGUGAUCCGGAAUGUUUUUUGGCCUGAGCAAAUGAUGGUAACUGGACCGACAAUGGGUUUUUAGAAUCGUUACCAUAAUCGUUUUUUGAUUGGUGAGUUUUUUUUUUCUUUUUUUGGUUUUGAUGAUUUUUCUCGAAGAUGGUUCUCUUCAGAACCUCUUAUGUCUGCCCCACGCAGACCACGCACAGACGUUUAAGUCUGCAGUGUGUUUGUUUUCGUGAAGUGCUUUCGUUAAAAAAGGUCUUCAAAACCACUUCCUCAUACAGAUGUGGACCAGUGUCUUCAAGGGUCUUCUACCCUCUUCUUCUCUACUCUUUCAAAACAAAUCUAAUAACCCUAGCAUUCAGCCGACGACACAUCGAUCUCCACAUCCAUCCAGCUGACACAUCGAUCUCCACCUCCAUCGCCGUCGAAAACUCAUCUCCAUCGAUCUCCAUCUUCAUCUCCGUCGAAGCCCUCAACUCCAUCGAUCUCCAUCUUCAUCUCCGACGAAGCCCUCACCUCCAUCAAUCCCAUCUUCAUCUCUGACGAAACCCUCAUCUCCAUCGAUCUCCAUCUUCAUCUCCGACGAAGCCCUCAUCUCCACCUUCAGAGGCGGUGUAACCGAUCCGGUUAAAAAGUUGCGGUCACAUACCUGAUACAUAUAAUACCAGUAUGAGCAGAAGAAUGAGGGUGAAAACCAAAAAGGAGAAUGUUUUUAGAUAGGUUACACUUUACAUUGACACACUAAUGUUUGUACCUUCUAUACUUUCAAUAGUAGAAAUGGAUACCAAUUUACUUUUAGUAGUAGAAACGGAUACCAAUAUUAUGUUUCAGAUGGAAUACAUUGACUAUUCUAUUAUUUCUUGCAGUUUUUGGAUGUAUGUGAUCAUGUAACAUAUCUUGGAAA